GACAGAGGGUGCAAACGUUUGUUCGGAAUUACUGGGCGUAAAGCGCGUGUAGGCGGCCCUGCAAGUCGGAUGUGAAAUCCCACGGCUCAACCGUGGAAGUGCAUUCGAAACUGCAGGGCUAGAGUCCUGGAGAGGAAGGUGGAAUGCUUGGUGUAGAGGUGAAAUUCGUAGAUAUCAAGCGGAACACCGGUGGCGAAGGCGGCCUUCUGGACAGUGACUGACGCUGAGACGCGAAAGCGUGGGGAGCAAACAGG
rnacentral:rRNA from 1 species